rnacentral:lncRNA from 1 species
CGGGAAAUGUAGGGGAGCAGCCGGACUGAGCUGCCCAAGGGGGUCGGCGCCCCAGGCUUCUUGGUGGCAUGCUGGGGAGCGGGGAGGGGGCGAUUCUUACCCGAAGGCUGCCGAGCUACAGGCGGCGGUCGGUCCGGGCGUCUGCUGUAAUCCACUAGGCGCUGCCCGGCUGCGCUCACUCUCGGACGCAGAGACCCGCUCAUGUUGGUGAAGAAGCCGCGCCAGAACCGCGCGGCUGCAGUCACCUCGAGCAGGCCGGCUGCUCCUGGCAGGCGGUGUCGGCGCCGGCGGGGGACUCGGCGCCCAGGGCCCCUUCCAGGCCCUCCCUCGCCGGGCUCCCCACCAGCUCCGGAGGUGGCGGCGAUGCGGACCGAGUGAGCGGCGGUGGGGCCAGGCCGGGCGCCGGGCGGGAGCCGAGGCCGCGGCGGACUCCGCAAUCCCGCAGCCGGUGACUGGAGCCCACCUCUGCAGAGACAAAGGAACUGCUCUGGUGAACUCCCCCUGAAAGUAAAUGUCCUUGGCUGGCCUCCAGCAUUCCCCUCAUGGGCAUAGCCAUGCAGCCUUCAGAACCUUCCUGAAAGAGAUGCCCAAGGAUUCAGCAAACACGGGGGAAGCAGAGGACACAAGAAGCUUGGAUGUGAAAUAGCACUUCCUUCUGUGUUACAGAAUAAAACAAUAUUUUAAAUUACACAAGCAGAUGGGGCAAGUUUUUGGGCCCUCAGAAGCCCAGAAGACUUCACACUAGUAUACUGGUAUAUACAUGUGGAAUUGAGCAAAUAACUUGUUUAAUUCCAAAAUUUUCUGAGAAAUAAUCUCAAUAGUCAAUUUGCCUCAUUAUCCUCUCCCCAUCUUACCCAAAUAAAAGCAGAGCUUUAUGACCCUCCCUUUCAACUUGGGGAAUGAGGGCCGCAAAGACACUUUGCACUGGCCCUCGGUCCCGCAGUCGGGCCCCGUCGCUGACUCUCCAGCUUCCGAGCCGCGGGCGGCGAGUCCAGGGCACACGGAGCGGCCGCGGGGGCGCCAGGCCGGUGUCGCCCGAGGCAGGCGGGCCCUCGGGGCGGCCCCUAGCGCCCGAGGGGAGCUGUUCUCCCCUCGCCUCUCUCCCUACUCACACCCACCCCUCCCCACACAUCCCCACACACACGCUUGCUCACAGCUUGUCGUGUUGUUUAAAACAGGUGGAAGACCUCUGUAAUGAUAUUAUGCCUUUCAAUAAAAAUUUUAUGAGGUGUAUUUGAUUAUAGAUUAAUGUGUCCCUAAUAAAACGGACGGAUGGAGCAGAUCGGAGGGCCCCCUCCCCCUGCCACACUCACACACGCCCGCGCGGCCACACACACCCCGACGUGAGGCUGGGUCCUUGGGACACUCCCUUCUGAUUUUUUUCCCCCUACAGAGGUGAGGUUGAGCAGCCUUGAAUCUGAGGGAAAUG